GAACCGUGCGAACGUUGUUCGGAAUCACUGGGCUUAAAGGGCGCGUAGGCGGGCCCGCCAGUCUGUGGUGAAAGCCCCCAGCUCAACUGGGGAAGUGCCGCGGAUACUGCGGGCCUCGAGGGAGGUAGGGGCGUGUGGAACUUCCGGUGGAGCGGUGAAAUGCGUAGAUAUCGGAAGGAACGCCGGUGGCGAAAGCGACGCGCUGGACCUCUGCUGACGCUGAGGCGCGAAAGCCAGGGGAGCAAACGGGAUUAGAUACCCCGGUAGUCCUGGCCCUAAACGAUGGGUACCAGGUUGUGGACUGGACAUGGGUUCACAGCCGAGGCAAAAGUGUUAAGUACCCCGCCUGGGGAGUAUGGUCGCAAGGCUGAA
rnacentral:rRNA from 1 species